CAGAGCAGGCAGGGUGGGGCAGUUAACUCUGUGUUAAGGAGUGGAUAGAUGGCGAAGACCUGCCUCUCAGAAACUGCCAUGUUCAGGUUGAGGGCCUGUGGGUGGAGAUCAGGGAUCGGACCAAUGCAGGACAGCUGGUGGCCACCUUGAUUUGCGGAAUCAAACUCCAUAACCCGAGAUUAGGUCAUAAAGCAGGUCAGAGGAGCUUCUGGGAUAUAAGGAUUUCUUUCCUCUCCUUGCCAGCCCUUGCUUUCUAUGUACUCUCACUCACCACAUGGCCUGACCUUGUCCAAGGAGGACUUUGGCAUCUUGAACAGGAAAUGAGAUACAAGGAAAUGUUGAGAGCCCUCCCUGUUCUUCCAUGUUGUGGGAUCACAGGAGAGACCAGUCACGAGAAAAAAAGUUACUGAGCAAUUGGAAGGCGGCCAAAUGCAUUUGGGAAGGUGCAUCUCCCACCUGCCUGGAAGGCUGCUCUGGUGAGGACUCUCACUCUGAGCGUGUGAGGAGUGCAGCAGAAGUCACCACGUCCUGUCAGGAGGUGUCUUGGUGGGAGGAUGGUACCAGGGCUGCAGAGCAUUACAUGCACCCUCAGCCCACCUGGAAGCUGAGCAUGGCACAGGAGACCCAACAUUCUGCUGAAUACCAGAGGACAGAGAAGAGCAGUCUAAAACCUGUGUCCUUACAGCCUGCAUCCCUCAUCCCUUGCAUCACACCUGGUACAGAUCGCACCAGGGCAGACAUCACGGGAAUGCUGGCCUAACAGCUCAGGGGUGCAAGAGGGCAUGAAUGAGAUUGUGAGAGGGUAAAGUUGACUGAAGAGAUUUUCAAAAUAAUUUGGUACACAGCAGGAUCCACACAAUUCUUUCCCUAACUGCUCCUCCACAGACCCACUGCCAUUUCUCACAUGUCCUGUGCAAAGAGCAUCUUUAUGAGGGAGGAAGAUGGACAGCACCAUUUAAUAUUGUACACAUUUAGAGCCACAGUGCCCAUGUUUCUGUAUUACCCACUGCCAUCUCCUACACUUGAGAAUGAGGUUAUGUCUAUAUCAGGUUCGCAGUCCAACAGAGAAGAAAAAAGUGUUAAAGCAGCCAUGGAUACUGCUUUAAGUGCUGGCACUGAAUUCUCCUCCAAGUGUGUCCAGCUAUUCAGUUAAGGACAUCAUGUGAGCCUUUAAAUUUGGACUCUACCUCAGGUUUAUCCCAAAGAUAAAACUGAAAAUUAAGUGCAAAUCUCAUGAUUUGAAAAAAAAAAAAAAAACAGCCCCAAACAAAUUG